UCUAACAAAUACAUUUUUCCCAUCCCUAUAGAAAUAUACACAUAUACACAUAAAGUAACACAAUAUUACUAAUACAAUUUGUUCAAUAUUAUAUUAUAAACUGACUCUACCAAACGACACCUAAUUUCAUUAGCAAAAUCAUUCCCCUCCUCACUUUCUCUCUCUAAACAACAUCACCACCGCCGGCCAUCUAUGUCCGGUGUACCACUGUGCCCCGCCACCCUUCCUCUUCCCUGUUAUUUACAGCUGUCGCUGCUCCACCAGUGGACAGCCUCCGCCACUGCUCCGACCGGCGAACUCCACUUCACCCUCUCUCUUGUCUCCUCCCUCUUCAGCCCAAACCGCCGUCGGUCCACCGUUUUCUGGCCGGUGGGCCAUUAAUCAACCAAAAAUAACACCAAGCCGCCGAUGAUAUCACUGUUUCAAAGAAGAGACGAUGAUCAAUCUCUCCUUUGAAAGUUUUAGCCGUGGCAAUUCAUAAAGGCUAUGCAUACUCUGAAGCAAACUUAAUCCUUAUGCAAUGAAACCCCAAAAGGUGGCAUCGGUCUUGUCAAAAUUGAGAGGAAGGAAGGUAGCGACAGUUCUAAUGUAGAAGAUGAUACACGAGGGUAAAAGGGAAUGAUUGGUGAAGCUGUUUGAAAGCUUGCUUUACAGAGAUCAAUGUCAAGAUGAAGAUCCAGUAAAGGGAAUGAUUGACUCUGCUAAACUACACAAAAUUAAUUCAUGGAAGUUACACGGUAAAGCGUGCUGCAUAAUUCUCGACAAACCAGAGAAGAAGAAUGCAUACAUGGUUUGAAUUGUGUGAGCUGUUAAUUUGAAAAAUGAAACUUGAGAUGAAUUGUGGAUUGAAAAACUUAUUUGCUUUGUUUAAUUUGUUGAAUUGUUUGUCUUCCAGCAGAAAUUAAAGUUUAUUAGUUUUAUUUUGAA